UACGUAGGGGGCAAGCGUUGUCCGGAUUUAUUGGGCGUAAAGAGCGUGUAGGCGGUUAUACAGGUCCGCUGUGAAAACUGGAGGCUUAACCUCCAGACGUCGGUGGAAACCGUAUAACUAGAGUCCGGAAGAGGAGAGUGGAAUUCCUGGUGUAGCGGUGGAAAAUGCGCAGAUAUCAGGAAGAACACCCGUGGCGAAGGCGGCUCUCUGGGACGGUACUGACGGCUGAGAC
rnacentral:rRNA from 1 species